AAACAUUGUGAUUAAUAGUUCCCUGAUAAUACCCAAAUAGGUGUAUUUAUUUGCUCACCAAUGCUCCUCCACAUCUUUUAAACUCUAAAUCUUCCUUGGAAUGUCAGUUUUCUGCUGCAGUAUUAAACAUUAUUGAAAAUUUGCAUCUAAAACUAUUAUCAUCUUAGGGUCUGGGUAGAUAGUUCAGUUGGCCAAGUGCUUGCCUUGCAAAUGCAAGGACCUGAGUUUGAUCCCCAGAGCCGUCACAAAUAAUACCAGCCACAGUGGCACACACUCGUAAUAUCAGCACUUGGGAGGCAGCAGGGACAGGCAGGCUCUCUGGGGACUAAUUGGCUAACCAACCUAGCCUGAUUGAUAAUGACAGAACCUGUCCAAAUAAAAAGAAAGAAAAAGAAAGAAAGAAGGAAGGGGAGAGGAGAGGAGAGGAGAGGAGGAAAAGGUGGGUGGUUUCUGAUGAAUAACAACUGAUUUUACCCUCUGGCAACCAUCCACACAAGGGCACCUGCACUACACACAGACCUGCUUGGACACAUACACUGGUGCACACACAAACAAGAGCCACUUACUGUCAUGCAAGAUCAGGAGACUAGAAGCCAGCUGUUGGUCAUUGACUAUUCUCAAUCCCCAAAGGCUUCCCACAGUUCCUAGUCCUGGACUCCAGUGGAAGUUCCCACAGGUGUGUUCGUUUCUCCCGGACAGCUGGAUUGUGUUCUGACACCUUCUGCAACCAGCUGGAAAACAUUCUUUCAAAGGAUUCUCAAAGUUAAGUCAGACCCAUCAGGAUAGCCUCCUGUCUUAAGACCAACUGAGCCAAACCUUACGCAGCAGGCCGGAAGUACAUGGGUCUGGAGAGAGUGAUCGUUUAUGAACGACAGAGAUCAGAUAAAUCUGUGGGAAGAGAGCAAGGUGGAGAAGAGGAAGCAAGCUCUCUGAACUUAAAGGGGUAGGGAGGAGUCGCAAGGAGAGAGAAAACCAGGACGGAAUUCUGGAGUCUUCGUGACUACAUGAAGAGAAACCUACUGUUUAAAAGAGGUGGAUUGAUUGCGGGGAUAAAAAAAACCAUUUGCUGGUUAAG
rnacentral:lncRNA from 1 species